rnacentral:rRNA from 2 species
UACGUAGGGGGCGAGCGUUGUCCGGAAUUAUUGGGCGUAAAGGGUUCGCAGGCGGUCUUUUAAGUCAGAUGUGAAAGGCUACGGCUCAACCGUGGUAAGCAUUUGAAACUGAAAGACUUGAGUUAAGGAGAGGAAAGUGGAAUUCCUAGUGUAGCGGUGAAAUGCGUAGAUAUUAGGAGGAAUACCAGUGGCGAAGGCGACUUUCUGGACUUAUACUGACGCUGAGGAACGAAAGCGUGGGGAGCAAACAGG